AAUAAGAAAUCAAACCCAAUCAAGAUAUCAACCUUACCUCAAACCCUCUGCCGAUUUCUGAUUUAAACCUCAAUCUCAGUUGUACGUUUUCAAAAAUGGUGAGGACCGAGUUGUCUGCGAAGGCAAAGAAUAAAGUAAGUGCAUGCUUAAUGAAGUAGGAACUGUAAAUAAGCAAGAUGAAAAAUUAGAGUCUCUUCAUUUGCAGAGAGACACUUAAAUGGCGAACAGUGGAAUGAUGGACUAUUAUCUACAGUUAGGAAGCGGGUUCACAUGGAGUUAGAAAGAAAAGCAAUGCAGGGGGAUGCUAGCAUGGCAUUGAAUUCUCACUUCCAUGGGAAAAUUACUUAUAGAGCAGGAAAUAAGUGUUUACGUUGGGAUGAGCUAGAAGGGGAUUAUCACAAAGUCUUGGCGAGGUGAUCCCUUGCACUAUUCUCUGCCAGGAACAGGGCAAAUUAGUUCUCAAUAGGAAUCUGCAACAAAUGUCCAGAAUAUAGUUUUCCAAGGGAGGAACAAUUCCCAAAUCCUUAACAUAACGGAAGGAUUUAAGUAAUAGGAGCAGUGCAUAAGCCGAAAUGACUCAAAUCAGUUGGAAAUUGUCCGUUAAUUUAGUCUCCAUUUAGUGUUGCCUUCAUCAUCCUCAAAGAUAUCAACCUUCACAUCACUCAGCACUGGUGGUGGGAGUGUAAACAAUGGUGGAAGCUUCUUUCCAUUACUUUGGAUGGGUGGUAAUAUCAAUGAACAAAGUACCAUGCUUAGUUCAGCUUGGGAUUAACCCACUGGAUUAGGGUCUUCGCGUGAGGGUUUUGGACUGCAUAUCAAGAAGGCCCUUAGAGGUGUGAAGGUUGAAGUAACUCAUGGAGGAAGUAUGAGCAGACUUAUGGGUUUUCUAUUCAAUGAACACAUUUUCCCUGUUUGCAAGUUAGAAAUCAACAAAGGCCAAAUCAUAUUUCCAUGGAGGUUUGUAAAAUUGUGGAGGGUCAGAGGUACUCGAAAAGACUCGAUGAACGUCAAAUAACUGCUCUUUUGAAGGUUACAUGUGGGCGGCCACGGGAAAGGGUGAAAGAUAUUAUGCAGAAUGUUCGCCACAAUGCUUAUUACGAGGACCCAUUCGCUAAGAAAUCUGGAAUAAAAACCAGUGAUAAGCUUGCUCAAGUUGGGGCUCGCAUUCUUCCUUCCCCAUGGAUUGGUUGUUUACACUGCUUACAACAGAUGACUUUAUGAUCAGUGGGGGAUAAUGUAUGUCAACGUAUACAACAGGAUCAAUUUGACACCAUGUAUUUGUCAGACAAUGAGAGUUAUGUUAUGUACUCUCGCCCUCACUUUUUAGAUGGUACGCCUUGUUUACUGUUUGGAUCUCCUCCAAAUUAUUGAAAUAUGCAGUUCUAUGUGUAUUCUUAAAUAUAUCCACCAUCUCCUGACUAUAAUCAUGUGAAUCACUUCCCUCAUGCUACAGCCUAAUCCCUCACGGUGCUUUUGAUUCCUUUCAUGAUGUUAUUAGAGUGUGAGUACUCCAUCAAGAUCCCAAUGAUGAAUGAUCAGAGAGGAACUUAAACACAAGAAUGAUGGCAGUAUGAAUCUCUUAUUAUGAGCUUGGUGCUACAAAGUUGAAGGAGUGUUCAUUUUUUAUUUCAAAAUUAAGGAAAUUGUAAUCAUCAUUUUUUAAAGAAAUGAUUAGUUUGUAUUUUUAAUCUUUUUGUUCCUGUAAAGAUUGUCUUUCUUUUAAGAAAUGAUGGAAAUUGAUCUAUGUGAUAUAAAAAAACUUGAUUCAGUUUUUA